rnacentral:lncRNA from 1 species
GGUGAGAGAAGCAGAGGCCCAAAGGAAUAUUGCAAAUACCCAAGGUCACCCUGUCAGGAGUGGCAGAAUAGGGCUGGAACAAGGACUCUUUUCUCUGGACAGCUUGCACCUACAAUCCUUUCCAUCUUGCACCUACAAUCCACUCGAACACUGCAGCAUGGAGGCAGACUCCUUGCCAACGGGUAUUGUCGAGAGCUUCUUCCUACCAUCAUUUGAAGAAAAAAAGCUUGGAGAUGGGGAAGAAUGAUUGAUCAACAUGUUUCUUCCUUAGUUUGUUACUGCUGUUGUUUUAAAUCGAGAAAGCAUUUUUAAACAGGAUGGGGGGGGACUGAUAAUAUCAGUCCUCCUUAAUUUCAUUACAGCCGAGUCAUCAGUAUUUUAGUAUUUCUUGCAGGUUGAUGAUUACAACAAUAUAAUUUUAUUUAUUUUAAUUAAACUCUAUUUGCUUCCCACAUAA